AUUGAACGCUGGCGGCAGGCCUAACACAUGCAAGUCGAACGAGUGGCGGACGGGUGAGUAAUGUCUGGGAAACUGCCCGAUGGAGGGGGAUAACUACUGGAAACGGUAGCUAAUACCGCAUACCAUCGGAUGUGCCCAGAUGGGAUUAGCUUGUAGGUGAGGUAACGGCUAACCUAGGCGACGAUCCCUAGCUGGUCUGAGAGGAGGACCAGCACAACUGGAACUGAGCCACGGUCCAGACUCUUACGGGAGGCAGAAGUGGGGAAUAUUGCACAUUGGGGGAAAGCCGAACGCGGCCCGGCCGCGUGUAUGAAGAAGGCCUUCGGGUUGUAAAGUACUUUCAGCGGGGAGGCGUUACCCGCAGAAGAAGCACCGGCUAACUCCGUGCCAGCAGCCGCGGUAAUAC
rnacentral:rRNA from 1 species